rnacentral:rRNA from 1 species
UACGUAGGGUGCAAGCGUUGUCCGGAAUCACUGGGCGUAAAGGGUGCGUAGGCGGGUCGAUGCGUCGUGCGUGAAACACCCCGGCUCAACUGGGGAGGGUCGUGCGAUACGGUCGGGCUUGAGGCCAGUAGGGGAUGCGGAAUUCCGGGUGUGAGUGGUGGAAUGCGUAGAGAAUCCGGAAGAACACCGGUGGUGAAGGCGGCCUGCUGGGCAGUUGCUGACGCUGAGGCGCGACAGCGUGGGGAGCAAACAG